rnacentral:rRNA from 1 species
UACGUAGGGCGCAAGCGUUGUCCGGAAUUAUUGGGCGUAAAGAGCGUGUAGGCGGCCAGGUAGGUCAGCUGUGAAGACUCGAGGCUCAACCUCGAGACGUCGGUUGAAACCACCUGGCUAGAGUCCGGAAGAGGAGAGUGGAAUUCCUGGUGUAGCGGUGGAAUGCGCAGAUAUCAGGAGGAACACCAAUAGCGAAGGCAGCUCGCUGGGACGGUACUGACGCUAAGGCGCGAAAGCGUGGGGAGCAAACAGG